rnacentral:tRNA from 1 species
GUCCCUGUAGUGUAAUGGAUAGCGUGUUGGACUUUUAAUCCAAAGGUAGUGGCUUCGAAUCCCACCUGGGAUG